GCGCAAGUGGUAUAGUGGUAAAAUUCAAUGUUGCCAUAGUUGGCCCCCGGUACGAUUCCGGGCUUGCGCA
rnacentral:tRNA from 1 species